GAGUUUGAUCCUGGCUCAGGAUGAACGCUGGCGGCGUGCUUAACACAUGCAAGUCGAACGGACUCAUAUUGAAACCUAGUGAUGUAUGAGUUAGUGGCGGACGGGUGAGUAACGCGUGGAAAACCUGCCGUAUACUGGGGGAUAACACUUAGAAAUAGGUGCUAAUACCGCAUAAGCGCACAGCUUCGCAUGAAGCAGUGUGAAAAACUCCGGUGGUAUACGAUGGUUCCGCGUCUGAUUAGCUAGUUGGCGGGGUAACGGCCCACCAAGGCGACGAUCAGUAGCCGGCCUGAGAGGGUGAACGGCCACAUUGGGACUGAGACACGGCCCAAACUCCUACGGGAGGCAGCAGUGGGGAAUAUUGCACAAUGGGGGAAACCCUGAUGCAGCGACGCCGCGUGAGUGAAGAAGUAUCUCGGUACGUAAAGCUCUAUCAGCAGGAAAGAAAAUGACGGUACCUGACUAAGAAGCCCCGGCUAACUACGUGCCAGCAGCCGCGGUAAUACGUAGGGGGCAAGCGUUAUCCGGAUUUACUGGGUGUAAAGGGAGCGUAGACGGCAGUGCAAGUCUGGAGUGAAAUGCCGGGGCUCAACCCCGGAACUGCUUUGGAAACUGUGCAGCUAGAGUGCGGGAGAGGUAAGCGGAAUUCCUAGUGUAGCGGUGA
rnacentral:rRNA from 1 species